rnacentral:rRNA from 1 species
UGAAUGGGCUAGGGCAUACACCAAUGUACCAAACCCUAUCAAACUCCGAAUACCUUAUAUGUAAUCACAGCAGUCAGGCGGCGAGUGAUAAAAUCCGUCGUCAAGAGGGAAACAACCCAGACUACCAGCUAAGGUCCCUAAAUCUUACUUAAGUGGAAAACGAUGUGAAGUUACUUAAACAACCAGGAGGUUGGCUUAGAAGCAGCCAUCCUUUAAAGAAAGCGUAAUAGCUCACUGGUCUAGUGAUUUUGCGCGGAAAAUAUAACGGGGCUAAAGUAAGUACCGAAGCUGUAGACUUAGUUUACUAAGUGGUAGGAGAGCGUUCUAUUUGCGUCGAAGGUAUACCGGUAAGGAGUGCUGGAGCGAAUAGAAGUGAGCAUGCAGGCAUGAGUAGCGAUAAUUAAUGUGAGAAUCAUUAACGCCGUAAACCCAAGGUUUCCUACGCGAUGCUCGUCAUCGUAGGGUUAGUCGGGUCCUAAGUCGAGUCCGAAAGGGGUAGACGAUGGCAAAUUGGUUAAUAUUCCAAUACCAACAUUAGUGUGCGAUGGAAGGACGCUUAGGGCUAAGGGGGCUAGCGGAUGGAAGUGCUAGUCUAAGGUCGUAGGAGGUUGUACAGGCAAAUCCGUAUAACAAUACUCCGAGAACUGAAAGGCUUUUUGAAGUCUUCGGAUGGAUAGAAGAACCCCUGAUGCCGUCGAGCCAAGAAAAGUUUCUAAGUUUAGCUAAUGUUGCCCGUACCGUAAACCGACACAGGUGGGUGGGAUGAGUAUUCUAAGGCGCGUGGAAGAACUCUCUUUAAGGAACUCUGCAAAAUAGCACCGUAUCUUCGGUAUAAGGUGUGGUUAGCUUCGUACUAGGAUUUACUCCGAAAGCGAAGAAACUUACAACAAAGAGUCCCUCCCGACUGUUUACCAAAAACACAGCACUCUGCUAACUCGUAAGAGGAUGUAUAGGGUGUGACGCCUGCCCGGUGCUCGAAGGUUAAUUGAUGGGGUUAGCAUUAGCGAAGCUCUUGAUCGAAGCCCGAGUAAACGGCGGCCGUAACUAUAACGGUCCUAAGGUAGCGAAAUUCCUUGUCGGUUAAAUACCGACCUGCAUGAAUGGCGUAACGAGAUGGGAGCUGUCUCAAAGAGGGAUCCAGUGAAAUUGUAGUGGAGGUGAAAAUUCCUCCUACCCGCGGCAAGACGGAAAGACCCCGUGGACCUUUACUACAGCUUGACACUGCUACUUGGAUAAGAAUGUGCAGGAUAGGUG